UACGGAGGGUGCGAGCGUUGUUCGGAAUCACUGGGCGUAAAGCGCGUGUAGGCGGCCCACUAAGUCUGAUGUGAAAGCCCGGGGCUCACCCCCGGAAGUGCAUUGGAAACUGGUGGACUCGAGUCCCGGAGAGGAGAGUGGAAUUCCUGGUGUAGCGGUGAAAUGCGCAGAUAUCAGGAAGAACACCCGUGGCGAAGGCGGCUCUCUGGGACGGUACUGACGCUGAGACGCGAAAGCGUGGGGAGCGAACAGG
rnacentral:rRNA from 1 species